GACGAACGCUGGCGGCGUGCUUAACACAUGCAAGUCGAACGGAAAGGCCCUGCUUUUGUGCUGUGCUCGAGUGGCGAACGGGUGAGUAACACGUGAGUAACCUGCCCUUGACUUUGGGAUAACUUCAGGAAACUGGGGCUAAUACCGGAUAGGAGCCCCUGCUCCAUUGUGGGGGUUGGAAAGUUUCGGCGGUCGGGGAUGGACUCGCGGCUUAUCAGCUUGUUGGUUGGGUAGUGGAUUACCAAGGCAUUGACGGGUCGCCGGCCUGAGAGGGUGAACGGCGACAUGGCUACUGAGAUACGGCCCAGAGUGGUACGGGAGGCAACAGGGGGGAAUAUUACACAAUCAGACGGAGCCUGAUGCAACGGCGCCGCGUGCGGGAUGCCGGGCUUUGGGUAAAAAACAGCUUUCGCCUGAGACGAAGCGAGAGUGACGGUAAUGGGUAAAGAAGCACCGGCUAACUACGUG
rnacentral:rRNA from 1 species